UACAGAGGUCCCAAGCGUUGUUCGGAUUCACUGGGCGUAAAGGGUGCGUAGGCGGUGGGGUAAGUCUGGUGUGAAAGCUCGGAGCUCAACUCCGAAAUGUCAUCAGAAACUACUUCACUUGAGGUUUGGAGGGGGGACUGGAAUUCUCGGUGUAGCAGUGAAAUGCGUAGAUAUCGAGAGGAACACCAGUGGCGAAGGCGAGUCCCUGGACAAAUCCUGACGCUGAGGCACGAAAGCUAGGGGAGCAAACAGG
rnacentral:rRNA from 1 species